UACGGAGGGUGCAAGCGUUGUCCGGAUUUAUUGGGUUUAAAGGGUGCGUAGGCGGCUGAUUAAGUCUGGGGUGAAAGCCCGUUGCUCAACAACGGAACUGCCCUGGAAACUGGUUAGCUUGAGUACAGACGAGGGUGGCGGAAUGGAUACUGUAGCGGUGAAAUGCAUAGAUAGUAUCCAGAACCCCGAUUGCGAAGCAGCUGCCUAGACUGUAACUGACGCUGAGGCACGAAAGCGUGGGGAUCAAACAG
rnacentral:rRNA from 1 species